rnacentral:rRNA from 1 species
CCUACGGGAGGCAGCAGUGAGGAAUAUUGCUCAAUGGGCGCGAGCCUGAACCAGCCAAGUAGCGUGAAGGAUGACUGUCCUACGGGUUUUAACCUUUGUUUAUAAUGAAAUAAAGUGACGCUCGUGUGCCUUUUUGUAUUUACUUUAUGAAUAAGGAACGGCUAACUUCGUGCCAUCAGCCCCGGUAAUGCGGUGGAUCCGAGCGUUAUCCGGAUUUGUUGGGUUUAAAGGGAGCGUCGAUGGGUUGUUAAGUCAGUUGUGAAAUUUUGGGGCUCAACCGUAAAAUUGCAAUUGAUACUGGCAGCCUUGAGUACAGUAGAGGUAGGCGGAAUUCGAGGUGUAGCAGUGAAAUGCGUAGAUAUCAGGAAGAACACCGGUGGCGAAGGCAGCCAACUAGACUGCAACUGACACUGAGGAGCGAAAGUGUGGGUAGCAAACAGGAUUAGAUACCCGAGUAGUC